UACAGAGGUCUCAAGCGUUGUUCGGAUUCAUUGGGCGUAAAGGGCGCGUAGGCGGCGGGGUAAGUCGGGUGUGAAAUCUCAGAGCUCAACUCUGAAACUGCACUCGAUACUGCUUUGCUAGAGGACUGGAGAGGAGAUUGGAAUUCACGGUGUAGCAGUGAAAUGCGUAGAGAUCGUGAGGAAGACCAGUGGCGAAGGCGGAUCUCUGG
rnacentral:rRNA from 1 species